rfam:Myotis lucifugus cont2.42430, whole genome shotgun sequence.
AGGCCUGGACAGAGAAGCAGGGUCUGAUCAGUAGCCUCCAUGGCAGCUGUUGAUCAGCCCUUGCCUCUCUCUUUCUCUCCG